rnacentral:rRNA from 1 species
CACUGGUAGGCAGGGUGAGAAUCCCAAGGCGCUUGAGAGAACUCGGGUGAAGGAACUAGGCAAAAUGGCACCGUAACUUCGGGAGAAGGUGCGCCCUUUGGUGUGGUCACGUGCGUGACUGAGCAUCGAAGGGUCGCAGUAACCUGGCCGCUGCGACUGUUUAUCAAAAACACAGCACUCUGCAAACACGAAAGCGGACGUAUAGGGCGUGACGCCUGCCCGGUGCUGGAAGGUUAAUUGAUGGGGUCAGCCGCAAGGCGAAGCUCUUGAUCGAAGCCCCAGUAAACGGCGGCCGUAACAAUAACGGUCCUAAGGUAGCGAAAUUCCUUGUCGGGUAAGUUCCGACCUGCACGAAUGGCGUAACGACAGCGGCGCUGUCUCCACCCGAGACUCAGUGAAAUUGAAAUCGCUGUGAAGAUGCAGCGUUCCCGCGGCAAGACGGAAAGACCCCGUGAACCUUUACUAUAGCUUUACAUUGAACGUUGAGUUCUUCUGUGUAGGAUAGGUGGGAGGCUAUGAAACCGAGACGCUAGUUUCGGUGGAGCCAUCCUUGAAAUACCACCCUGAAGUGCUUGACGUUCUAACCUAGGUCCGUAAUCCGGAUCGGGGACCAUGUAUGGUGGGUAGUUUGACUGGGGCGGUCUCCUCCCAAAGAGUAACGGAGGAGCACGAAGGUACGCUCAGCGCGGUCGGACAUCGCGCACUGUGUGCAAAGGCAUAAGCGUGCUUGACUGCGAGAUCGACGGAUCAAGCAGGUACGAAAGUAGGUCUUAGUGAUCCGGUGGUUCUGUAUGGAAGGGCCAUCGCUCAACGGAUAAAAGGUACUCCGGGGAUAACAGGCUGAUACCGCCCAAGAGUUCAUAUCGACGGCGGUGUUUGGCACCUCGAUGUCGGCUCAUCACAUCCUGGGGCUGUAGCCGGUCCCAAGGGUAUGGCUGUUCGCCAUUUAAAGUGGUACGCGAGCUGGGUUCAGAACGUCGUGAGACAGUUCGGUCCCUAUCUGUCGUGGGCGUUGGAGAUUUGAGGGGGGCUGCUCCUAGUACGAGAGGACCGGAGUGGACGUUCCGCUGGUGUUCGGGUUGUCAUGCCCAUGGCAUUGCCCGGUAGCUACGAACGGAAGUGAUAACCGCUGAAAGCAUCUAAGCGGGAAGCACGCCCCAAGAUGAGAUCUCCCGAGAGCUAGACUCUCCUUAAGGCACCAUCAAGACUAGGUGGUUGAUAGGCGCGGUGUGGAAGUGCAGCAAUGCAUUGAGCUUACGCGUACUAAUGAGCCGUGAGGCUUGACCG